GAUGAAGAACGUAGCGAAAUGCGAUACGUAAUGUGAAUUGCAGAAUUCAGUGAAUCAUCGAGUCUUUGAACGCACAUUGCGCCCCCUGGUAUUCCGGGGGGCAUGCCUGUCCGAGCGUCAUUGCUGCCCUCAAGCACGGCUUGUGUGUUGGGCCUCCGUCCUCCUCCCGGGGGACGGGCCCGAAAGGCAGCGGCGGCACCGCGUCCGGUCCUCGAGCGUAUGGGGCUUCGUCACCCGCUCUUGUAGGCCCGGCCGGCGCUUGCCGACACAUCAAUCUUUUUUCCAGGUUGACCUCGGAUCAGGUAGGGAUACCCGCCGAACUUAAGCAUAUCAAUAAGCGGAGGA
rnacentral:misc_RNA from 1 species